rnacentral:rRNA from 1 species
GAUGAACGCUGGCGGCGUGCCUAAUACAUGCAAGUCGAGCGAACGGACGAGAAGCUUGCUUCUCUGAUGUUAGCGGCGGACGGGUGAGUAACACGUGGAUAACCUACCUAUAAGACUGGGAUAACUUCGGGAAACCGGAGCUAAUACCGGAUAAUAUUUUGAACCGCAUGGUUCAACAGUGAAAGACGGUCUUGCUGUCACUUAUAGAUGGAUCCGCGCUGCAUUAGCUAGUUGGUAAGGUAACGGCUUACCAAGGCAACGAUGCAUAGCCGACCUGAGAGGGUGAUCGGCCACACUGGAACUGAGACACGGUCCAGACUCCUACGGGAGGCAGCAGUAGGGAAUCUUCGGCAAAGGGCGAAAGCCUGACGGAGCAACGCCGCGUGAGUGAUGAAGGUCUUCGGAUUGUAAAACUCUGUUAUUAGGGAAGAACAUAUGUGUAAGUAACUGUGGACAUCUUGACGGUACCUAAUCAGAAAGCAACGGCUAACUACGUG